CUUAACAGGAUUUAGUGACUAACUGGAUGUAGAGAGUGGAUGAUGAAAGGUGGAAAGGAGUAAGUUCCAGAGUCCUAGCAUGUGAGAAUGAGUAGAUGAAGAUCCAUCAACCAGACUAGCGAUAUAAAAGGAAGAGUAUGUCUUAGAGGUGAAAUCAUGAUCAAUUUUGGACAUGCAGAGUGAGAGAUUUCUGAGAUUUUAUUCAGAGAACAUCUUCAAAGGGAUUCUUGGAAAAUUCAAGAUCAUCAGUCCAUAAACACCCAGCAGAGGAAGAUUUUCCCUAUAAAAUAUUUGAAUUCAAGGGAGAAACCUGGGAGCCACAAGAAAAAGAGAUUUUUACAAUGAAGAAUGACAGACUGGGAGACAAUCACCCGAAGAAAACAAGAUGCUGCUUAUGGGGAUCUGAAGAAAAGCACUCAAGGUCAAGGCUGUGGUUAAGUUUUUGCCAGAAAGCAGGAUUAUUUGCCUCGAAAUCAAACAAUGGAGCUUUACUCAGUUAAUUUCUGUUUGAAAAAUUUUCUAGGAUUCUUGAGACUAUGUCAUCUUUAGAACUGAAAUGGAAACUAAAAAUCAGCUAUUCAAAGACUCUUAAUCCACAGGAAAUCCAGCCUGAGGAAAGCCUACAUGGAGGAGAAAAGAUGAGAGAAAAUGAAAAGGAGCUGAAUGAAAGCCCUGGAAGAGCUAUAUCCGAAGCCAGGCUAUUUCUGGUCUUUUCAGAUACUUGAGCUAAUCAAUUCCAUUUGUUGUUUAAGAUAAUUUGAGUUGUAUUUUCUAUUUUUCAUAUCCAAAAAUACCCAAGGUGAUACACCAACACUAUAAAGUUCAAACUCAAAAUCUGGCAUAUGUCCACUCUCUAAUAACAACUAACCUAUUUCUCUCUAUAUUUUUCAGCACUUUCAAUAGAACUUCCUGCAAUGAUGGAAACGUUCUAUAUCUGUGCUGGCCAAUAGAGUAGUCACUAGCUACAGUUAAACAGCACCUGAAAUGUGACUAGUGUGGCUGAAGAAGUGAAUUUUUAGUUUAAUUUAAUUGGACACGUGUCUAGCAGCUAUCAUAUUGAACAGCACAACUCUAACCUAAUGAAAUUUUCCUUGAGUAUAACCCAGUCUUUCCACCUUCCUUUGCUUAGUUUGUCCUUUUUACCUGGAGUACCUGAUUGUCUGUCUUCACACAGAAGAAAUGUAGACAUCCUUAUAAGCCAUCCUUAUAAACACAGCCAUUACAAGUUCAAAUGUCUCCUAUUCUAUGACGUUUUUUUGAUCACACUAUGCAGAACUGUGAACUUCUCCAAUCUAUUACUUCUAUUUUCUUGUUCCAUGGCAUUUUAAAAGAAUCAUUUGUAAAAAUAAAUGAUAUUAAUAAGAAUUUUUUAAAAAAAA
rnacentral:lncRNA from 1 species